GCCUUGAUAGCUCAGUCGGUAGAGCGUUGGACUUCUAAUCUGAGGGUCCAGGGUUCAAAUCCCUUUUCAGGCA